CUGAUCUGUGAUCCAUGGGUUCAUUCCUCAAAUUCCUGAGACCAAGGACCUACUGAAGAUAAAAUUCUGGUCUCAAAC